rnacentral:lncRNA from 1 species
CUCAGACAGUGACAUUACUGUCACCUGCUUAAAAUAGUAUGACGUUCUUCCAGUCUUAGAAUACUCUCUAGGGCUCUCUGUUUUCCAUGAAAGCAUUUAUUUCAGUCAAAAUACUUCAUGCUUUUUCUCCACUCCGACAUUCACCAAAAAGGAGCUGUAAGAAAAUAUAGCAACUCAAAACCGCCAUGUCAUUUUUAAAGGAGCUAUUUUCUUUUUUGACUAAUCAACCUUCGUUGUCUCCUUGGGUACUGAAGGAGCCACAGGACUGGGUGGCGACUGUGUCCCCGAGGAAGAGCCGAUCUCUCAGCUGCCUGUGUGACUACACAUGUCUAGGGGUCUGAAGCCUGCCUGGGAGGGGUCCCUGGAGAGGGUAGGGGCUGACACUCCCCUGCACCCUCACCCCGGAGUUGACAUCGCUGGUCUGUUACACCCGCAUUCUUCUUCUCCCCUGAUUGGGCCGGGACCAGGUGUGGGCCUCCCUCCUCCUCUCGUCAUCCCUCCUGACUUCUGCAGGCCUCAUCCUGGAAAGCCGGGAGGGCCGCCCCCAUCUCCCGCAUGAUGAACCUUUUGAAUAUUCGGACGUGGGCUCCUGGUUGGAGAUGUCAUGUCUUUCCUUCUGUUGUUAGUCUGGAGACAACACAGACCCCCCUGGUUUACCUGUGUAGUCCCAGGGUGUCUCAGGUGCCAGGAGCCGCUGCCACGAGUGCCUCGUCUCCUGUCAGAUGUGGUUGGUGAGAGACGAGGACAGCAUGACCACUGGGCACCACACAGUACAGAGGUCAGCGUGCAAGGACAGCGGGACGGCAGUGAUGUGGCCGUGACUACUUGUCAAGCACCCCCUCCCAGCUCCUUCUCUCAGAGGGAAAAGAGGCUCUG